GCACUGCUGAGGAGUCCCACAAUAUAACGAAACGGCCGUCCAGUGC
rfam:Schistosoma rodhaini strain Burundi genome assembly, scaffold: SROB_scaffold0002859